rnacentral:misc_RNA from 1 species
GAUGAAGAACGCAGCGAAAUGCGAUAAGUAAUGCGAAUUGCAGAAUUUCCGUGAGUCAUCGAAUCUUUGAACGCACAUUGCGCCCAUUGGCAUUCCGAUAGGCAUGCCUGUUCGAGCGUCAUUAUCCUCCCUCAAACCCCUGGGUUUGGUGUUGGACUGUGUGGUGCCUGGCACCACUGGUCUCAAAGACAAUGACGGCGUCCGUGGGACCCUCGGUGCAACGAGCUUUUCGAAGCACGCGUCGAGUGGACAGUCUCUCCGGGCCGGUCACCUCUCCAAUUUUUCUCAGGUUGACCUCGGAUCAGGUAGGAAUACCCGCUGAACUUAAGCAUAUCAAUAAGCGGAGGA